CGUGCAGGCGGUUUGAUAAGUUGGAUGUGAAAGCUCCUGGCUUAACUGGGAGAGGUCGUUCAAAACUAUCAGACUAGAGAAUGGUAGAGGAAGAUGGAAUUCCCGGUGUAGUGGUGAAAUGCGUAGAUAUCGGGAGGAACACCAGUGGCGAAGGCGGUCUUCUGGCCCAUUUCUGACGCUAAGACGCGAAGGCUAGGGUAGCAAACAGGAUUAGAUACCCUGGUAGUCC
rnacentral:rRNA from 1 species